AUGCCGACACCAGCAGAUCAACAAAGAAAGGAAAACCGGCAACCACUACACCCUUCGAAGAAGUACCACCACGCUCCCAGCAUCCGGAAGCACCGCGCCCCAAGCAACACCUUCAAGAAGGAAUGCGAUGAUGCCGCCGAUGUUGCCCGAACAAGUUCUAGGGUUUCCCCCGGUACACGAGGAAUAGUGGGGAAGGGGUAUACCGGAUGCCCCUCAGGAAGGUCCGACUGCGCCCGCAGGCGUCAUCGCAUCGGUGCCGGCCAGGCCGACAGGGGUUUCUCCCGAUCCACAACCACCACCACCACCCCAGGCAUUUCGAAAUGCACCACGCCCUCAGCCACCCACCAGCUUGUGCCACCACGAUUACCGGACAACCCUCACCGCCUCACUAGAGCUGUCAACACGAGACCUGGAGAGGGAGAGGAGACACAUGCCACGAGAGCGGCCACAACUCGACCGGAGGGAGGGGACAACCUACACCACCACAGCGGAGCCGACCGGACGGGGCGACGAGGACUUGGUGGGCCUUGA
rnacentral:rRNA from 1 species